AACGAACGCUGGCGGCAUGCCUAACACAUGCAAGUCGAACGAGACCUUCGGGUCUAGUGGCGCACGGGUGCGUAACGCGUGGGAACCUGCCCUUAGGUUCGGAAUAACUCCCCGAAAGGGGUGCUAAUACCGGAUAAUGUCUUCGGACCAAAGAUUUAUCGCCUUUGGAUGGGCCCGCGUUGGAUUAGCUAGUUGGUAGGGUAAAAGCCUACCAAGGCGACGAUCCAUAGCUGGUCUGAGAGGAUGAUCAGCCACACUGGGACUGAGACAAGGCCCAGACUCCUACGGGAGGCAGCAGUGGGGAAUAUUGGACAAUGGGCGAAAGCCUGAUCCAGCAAUGCCGCGUGAGUGAUGAAGGCCUUAGGGUUGUAAAGCUCUUUUACCCGGGAUGAUAAUGACAGUACCGAGAGAAUAAGCUCCGGCUAACUCCGU
rnacentral:rRNA from 1 species